rnacentral:rRNA from 1 species
AUUGAACGCUAGCGGCAUGCCUAACACAUGCAAGUCGAACGGCAGCAUGUCACUGGGUAACCAGUGAUGAUGGUGAGUGGCGGACGGGUGAGUAACGCGUAGGAAUCUACCUCGUAGCGGGGGAUAACCCGGGGAAACUCGGGCUAAUACCGCAUAUGUUCUUCGGAAUAAAGGAAGCCUCUAUUUAUAAGCUUUCACUAUGAGAUGAGCCUGCGUUGGAUUAGCUAGUUGGUAGGGUAAAGGCCUACCAAGGCGACGAUCCAUAGCUGGUCUGAGAGGACGAUCAGCCACACUGGGACUGAGACACGGCCCAGACUCCUACGGGAGGCAGCAGUGGGGAAUAUUGGACAAUGGGGGGAACCCUGAUCCAGCCAUGCCGCGUGUGUGAAGAAGGCCUUAUGGUUGUAAAGCACUUUAAGCGAGGAGGAGGCUACUUUAGUUAAUACCUAGAGAUAGUGGACGUUACUCGCAGAAUAAGCACCGGCUAACUCUGUGCCAGCCGCCGCGGUAA